CCUUAUCAAGAGUGGCUGAGGGAAUAGGCCCGAAGACGCCCGGCAACCUAGGUGCUUCGCAUGCAGUGCACGAAGCAGAAAAGGUGCUAAAUCCUACAGGAACUUUUUAAAAAGAUUUUCCUGAGAGAUGAGG
rnacentral:ncRNA from 1 species